CUCCGUGCGAAGGUAGCGUAAUCACUUGUCUUUUAAUUGAAGACCCGUAUGAAAGGCAUUACGAGAGUUUAUCUGUCUCUAUUUUCCAAUCAAUGAAAUUAGUCCUCUCGUGCAGAACCGAGAAUAAUAACAUAAGACGAGAAGACCCUAUGGAGCUUUAAACACUUGAGUUAUUUUUAAAACACCCAAACACCCUACGGACAUAAAUAAAAACUAAUUCUCUAACUUAACUUGUUUUUGGUUGGGGCGACCAAGGGGAAAAGAAAAACCCCCUUAUCGAAUGUGUGAGAUUCACUUAAAAACUAGAGCUACAGCUCUAAUUAAUAGAAAAUCUAACGAACAAUGACCCAGGAACAUUCCUAUUCCUGAUCAAUGAACCAAGUUACCCUAGGGAUAACAGCGCAAUCCUUUCUUAGAGUCCCCAUCGCCGAAAGGGUUUACGACCUAU
rnacentral:rRNA from 1 species